GGAAACAAACAUAUAUAUAGCAUGAUAAUAAUAAUUAUUGGUAUUAAUUAUUACAUCAUGCUGGAACCUUUUCCGUGGGUGGCAACCCAAUAAUUGAAAAGAAAAAAAUAAAGAGAGAGAAGCACGUUUAUUAUAAUUUAUUAUUAAUAUCCGCAUAAAAGAGUAGUGCAAAUUCAAUUGGCUGUCGCUAACUAUAGUUCACAAGAUGGACCCGGC
rnacentral:lncRNA from 1 species